rnacentral:lncRNA from 1 species
UGGUACUAAGAGCUCUCGAGAGAGAAAAUGGCGAUGUCUUUGGGGGUUAUCUCUACCUUCUUCUCCGGCGAAACGGCGUCGUUUUCUAAGUCUGCGUUGUCCUUGACAUCACUCCGGCACCUUCCGCCUCCUUCUCCUCAUACUAACCUGCGCCUGGUGCGAACCGUAACCUCGGCUGCCGCGUCGAAGCCGCCGGCUGCGGCCACCGGCAAGCGGGAGCCUCGAGGCAUCAUGAAGCCCCGCCGGAUUUCGCCGGAAAUGCAAGACUUUCUCGGCGUCCCCGAGAUUCCUCGGACCCAAGCGCUGAAGCAGAUUUGGGCUUAUAUCAAGCAACACAAUCUUCAGGUCUUGUCCAUAAAUCCUUUUAUCUUUUUGAGCAAUGGUUUAUCUGUGAAACUGUGUUAUUGUUGAAUGGGGUUUUAGAUGGGUUUUAUGUAUGGAUAAGGUUAUGUUUGUCUUAUUUUGCUUCUGUUGCCCUUUCUGAGUUCGGUUUUCUUGGGGUUUUUGUAUGUUCCUACAUAUUUUAUUCAGUGUUUUUUAAGAACUAUAUUUGGAUAAAGCCAUGUUGGUGUAGAUUAAAUGCGGGUUCUGUUUUUAUUUUUGCUGAGUUUAGUUUCAUUGGGGAUUUGGAUGGGGUUUAUACGGUGCUCCUAUAUUUGGAUAAGGCUGUGUUUUGGUGCGAUUGGAAUGUGCUUUUGUUAUUGCUAUACCUGAUUUUGGUUCUCUUGGGUUUUGAGAUUGGUUUUUGUGUUGCCUGUGGCCUGGAAUCUGUAAGGCAAUGUGGGUAUAGUCAAGUUGUGGGUUUUCGUUAUGAGUGGAAAUUGGUUUGGUCCUCUUGAGUUUAGAUGGUAUUUGGGAGUAGUUGUUUUUGUACCUUCUUAUGUUUGGAUAAGGUUGUAUUUUGCAGAUUAAAUGUUGGUUUUGACAUUACUGGGACUGAUUUGCUUCUGUCUCGUUAUUGGAAGGCUUUACUUUUUAUGGUCGGAAUAGGUUUUGUUUUAUGGAGGUAUUGUCAAUAGAAUGGAGUUUCCAUUAAGUUUAUACAUGGAUUUAUAUAUUGAGAUGGAUGAACUGAUGAAGCUUUAUUCUUGUAGAUGAAAUGUGGGCUUUAAAUGGCUAGAACUGAGGUUGGUUUCAAUGGGUUUUAGUUGGGUUUAUAUGCUGUUUCUUUGGGGUGUUUUUUCAUUUUGGCAAGGCCAUGGUAUGUGGUUUUGAUUACUUCAAUAGAUGAGUUUGAUGCUAUUCAAUUUAUAUGUAUUUGUAAUUGGAUUGAACAGGGUAAGGUAUAAUGAUAUAGAUGUAAUGGGAGUUUUGCUAUUUUUAGGAAUAGAUUUGAUUGUAAUUUGUUUUUUUGAAGUGUUUUUUAGUUUUUCUUAAUGUUUUGGUAUUGAGAUGAGGUUUUUUUGUUGCUUCUUAGAUGCUGCUCCUGAGCUUGGUUAUAUUGAGAUUUAGGUAGUUUAUUUGUCCUUUGUCUGAUGUUUCUGUUUUCGGAAAGUAUCUAUGAGAUUCUGGGUUUUGUUAUUGCUCUACCUUAGUUUGAUGUGUUAAUAUUGAUAUUAAUAUAGUUUUUUUUUUAAUGUUUCUGUAUUUGGAUAUGAUUGCCUGUUUGUUUGUAUACGCAUAUAACCUUAAAUGCAUAUGUAUUUGUAUAUAUGAGACCAUGGGUUCAGUUAUUGCUCCACCAUAGUUUGAUGAUUUGGGUUUUUAGAUGUGUUAAUGUCAAUAUUAAUAUAGGUUUUUUUUUGGAAUGUUUCUGUAUUUGGACAUGGUUGUGUCAUGCCUGUUUGUUUGUAUACACCACUACCUUAAAUGCAUGUGUUGGUUGUUUCAUUUGCCUUUUCCAUAUACACGACGUUAAAUGCAAUUCCUGGUUACUUGCAUGCAUAAGGGAGCUAUUUUUAUUUUGUCAAAAAAAUGAAAUAAUGGAAAAUAGGGUAUUGAUGUUGCUGGGUAGUUGGAGGAGAUAUUUGUUGAUAUGCUCUGCUGUUGAAGCAUUUGCAUGAUAUAAGAUGUAAUUAUUCAUCCUUACUUUGACAUUAGCAUCCUUCUGCACCCUGAGAGAAAAUGAAACUGCUUUCCUUUAUUUUGGCCUAUUACAAAUCUUAUAAUAGACUAUUAACAAAAUCUUGCUUUCUGAUACAUUAAUGUUCAGUGUUACUUCUUUGGAAUAAUUUCUUAAUCCGAUUUCCUCUAGCACCAAGCAACAACCUGUUGGAAAAGCUCAUUGCUUAUAUAUAUUGCAUAGUUUUAAAAGGCGUGCUUUAAGUGUGACUAAGCUCAAGGGGCAACCACUUCGUAGUUAUAGUGCCUCGCUUGCCAAGAUAUGCGCCUUAUUGAAGGGGCGUGCCUUAUCGAUUUUACUCUUCCUUUUUAAAUGCUUUUAUUUUUGAAAUUUCUAGUUGUAUAUUGAAACUUGUAUAAUUUCAUUAUUUUUUUUUUAUUGAAUGCUUCUUUUAAAUGUUUGGAAUCUUAAAUUUUUUAUUGAUUGGAUUAGAUUUUGAAUAAUAUUUUAUAGGAUUGAUAUGCAUCCCAGGUCACAUUUCACUUCACUUAGACGCGCGUCUUGUGUUGCGCCUUGCGCCUGAGCUAUAGGAGACUUUUACCCCUUAGGUGUGUCUUGCGCCUUUUAAAACUAUGAUAUAUUGACUUAUUGUUUAUCCUUUUCCAUUGUGCUACUGUUCUCAUGUACCUUAUUUGUUGAUUUAAAUCCAAUUCUGUCACUGUCAUUUUGGUGUUAUUCUUGUUCUUUCUUUCCUCACAUCUGCUGUGUCAUUUCGGUGUUGAUAUAUGAAUAAUAUUUAUGGAUAUAUUUCUUCAAGAGCCAGUGUAAAGUUUUCUUUGUUGGGAUUCAAUUUGUUUGUUUUUAUUUUGUGGAUAAUGUUUGGAUCUUUCAAAGUGGUCAGUGUGAGGGAAGCCUGAUAUGGUGUUUUGCCUUAAUUAUUAUUUUUUGUGUUUUAUUUGGAUAGACUUCUUAAAUGUUAAAAAUGAAAACGAUGUGGCUUUUGAUCAAACUGACAAAGGAUAUCUUAGCACAUUUAUAGCAUAACUCAACCCAGCAAAGCUUUUUUCCCAAUUAAUUUGGACUUGCCAAUCAACUAUUUACAAAGGCAAUAUUUGACACAGAUAAGAUAUCGGAUGAGGGGUGACUUCUGCACUUGGUGUUCCAAGCUGUUCAUAUAUAAUGUGGGGCAGCUUGCUUUGCAUUACCCCUUCUCUAAAGAACUCACCCACCUGUAUAAAUAUUAACCCUUUAAUGCGACUAAAAUUUUUUGUUUUACCCUUCUAUUUGACUAAUGUAUGAGGGUUAUGCAGUUAUAUUAUAGGUGGGUUUAGAUCACAUUUUGAUUCUUGUGGGGCUACAUUUUAGUUGGACAGUUGUACCUUUAGUUUGCCUUUCUCUACCCCUCCCUGUUCAAUUUUGCAUUUGUGUGUGUAGAUUGUGGCUGGAAUUUAGUUAUGCUAUUUAUGUAUUCAUCUAUAAUUUGGUUCUGACGUGGUUUGUCCUUUUCCCUGCUAGGAUCCUGAAAACAAGAAGAUUAUAGUCUGUGAUGAGAAACUGAAGAGUAUAUUUGCAGGGAAGGACCGCGUUGGUUUUCUUGAGAUUGCAGGGUUGAUUAAUCCACACUUUCUUAAGUGAAACUCAAUCUGCAAGAGGAUGGAUUUAGAACUAGAAAACCAGCUAUGAAGCAAAUUUUGCACAAGGGCUCUCUGUUGAGUUGGUGAUAUCACUCAAUAGAAGUGGGAGCGCUUUAUGCGACUUAGUACUUAAUCUUCAGUUCUGGAACCUGCAUAUAGUAACUGGCUUUUUUGGUUUUGUUGAGUGGGUCUGUUUCUAGGAUUAUGCAGGCUAUCUAAUGCAAUAUUUUCAGACGCCCAGCCCAAUUUUUUUAAUUUUAGUUAAUAUCUUGAGCUUUUGCUGGAAUCUUGUGUGCUUAAGGUGUGCAAUGGUUCUUUCUGUUUAACCUUUUCUGCAGGUGUGCAAGCAGGAGUGUUUUAGUUAAAACAUUCGGCCUGCCCCUAAGCCCAGUGGGGAAUCUGCAUAAAACCUAAAAUGUGCAUCAAAGCCCUGAUUGACUGGCA